rnacentral:rRNA from 1 species
AUGAACGCUAGCUACAGGCUUAACACAUGCCCGUCGAGGGGCAGCAUGGUCUUAGCUUGCUAAGGCCGAUGGCGACCGGCGCACGGGUGAGUAACACGUAUCCAACCUGCCGUCUACUCUUGGACAGCCUUCUGAAAGGAAGAUUAAUACAAGAUGGCAUCAUGAGUCCGCAUGUUCACAUGAUUAAAGGUAUUCCGGUAGACGAUGGGGAUGCGUUCCAUUAGAUAGUAGGCGGGGUAACGGCCCACCUAGUCUUCGAUGGAUAGGGGUUCUGAGAGGAAGGUCCCCCACAUUGGAACUGAGACACGGUCCAAACUCCUACGGGAGGCAGCAGUGAGGAAGAUUGGUCAAUGGGCGCAGGCCUGAACCAGCCAAGUAGCGUGAAGGAUGACUGCCCUAUGGGUUGUAAACUUCUUUUAGAAAGGAAUAAAGUCGGGUAUGUAUACCCGUUUGCAUGUACUUUAUGAAUAAGGAUCGGCUAACUCCGUG